AGGAAAUCCUUCCAGCCGGCGAGGUACAUGUACCUCGUCGGCCGGAAGAAACCCCUUCCGGUCGACGAGGUACAUGUACCUCGUCGACUGGAAGGAUUUCCU
rnacentral:miRNA from 1 species